GAUGAACGCUGGCGGCGUGCCUAAUACAUGCAAGUCGAGCGAACGGACGAGAAGCUUGCUUCUCUGAUGUUAGCGGCGGACGGGUGAGUAACACGUGGAUAACCUACCUAUAAGACUGGGAUAACUUCGGGAAACCGGAGUUAAUACCGGAUGAUAUUUUGAACCGCAUGGUUCAAAAGUGAAAGACGGUCUUGCUGUCACUUAUAGAUGGAUCCGCGCUGCAUUAGCUAGUUGGUAAGGUAACGGCUUACCAAGGCAACGAUGCAUAGCCGACCUGAGAGGGUGAUCGGCCACACUGGAACUGAGACACGGUCCAGACUCCUACGGGAGGCAGCAGUAGGGAAUCUUCCGCAAUGGGCGAAAGCCUGACGGAGCAACGCCGCGUGAGUGAUGAAGGUCUUCGGAUCGUAAAACUCUGUUAUUAGGGAAGAACAUAUGUGUAAGUAACUGUGCACAUCUUGACGGUACCUAAUCAGAAAGCCGCGGCUAACUACGUG
rnacentral:rRNA from 1 species